rnacentral:rRNA from 1 species
GAAAGUAAAAAAGGGCGCAUGGCGGAUGCCUUGGCUCUCGGAGGCGAUGAAGGACGUGAUAAGCUGCGAUAAGCUUUGGGGAGGUGCAAAUGACCUUUGAUCCAGAGAUUUCCGAAUGGGACAACCCAAUAUCUUGAAGAGGUAUUAUCCAACGUUGUUGGAGGCUAACGCAGGGAACUGAAACAUCUUAGUACCUGCAGGAAAAGAAAAUAAACAAUGAUUCCCCCAGUAGUGGCGAGCGAACGGGGAACAGCCCAAACCAUCCAUGUUACGGCAUGGGUGGGGUUGUAGGACUACGCCGUUGCAUGAAGACAUCAGAGAAGAACUUUCUGGAAAGAAAGACCAUAGAGCAUGACAGUUGCGUAUUCGAAUGUUGUCGAAGCAUAGUAGUAUCCUGAGUAGCGCGGAGCACGAGGAAUUCUGCGUGAAUCUGCCGGGACCAUCCGGUAAGGCUAAAUACUCCCGAGAGACCGAUAGCGAACCAGUACCGUGAGGGAAAGGUGAAAAGCACUUCGAACAGAAGAGUGAAAUAGUUCCUGAAACCGUGCGCCUACAAGCGGUCGGAGCUCGUUAAUGAGUGACGGCGUGCCUUUUGCAUAAUGAACCUACGAGUUGCCUUUGCCGGCAAGGUUAAGUGUGACGACACACGUAUCCGAAGCGAAAGCGAGUCUGAACAGGGCGUAUAGUCGGCAGUGGCAGACGCGAAACCAAGUGAUCUACCCUUGGCCAGGUUGAAGGCUGGGUAACACCAGCUGGAGGACCGCACCAAUAAGCGUUGAAAAGCUUCUGGAUGAGCUGAGGGUAGGGGUGAAAGGCUAAUCAAACUUGGAGAUAGCUCGUACUCCCCGAAAUGCAUUUAGGUGCAGCCUUGCGGGUUACUGAUGUGAGGUAGAGCGACUGAUAAGAUGCGAGGGCUUCACCGCCUAUCAAGUCUUGACAAACUCCGAAUGCGCAUCAGUUCUACCGCAGGAGUGAGGGCAUGGGUGCUAAGGUCCGUGCCCGAGAGGAGAAGAAUCCGGACCACCUGCUAAGGUCCCGAAAUGACAGCUAAGUUAAACUAACGAAGUCUGACUGCUAAGACAGCUAGGAUGUUGGCUUGGAAGCAGCCAUUCAUUUAAAGAGUGCGUAACAGCUCACUAGUCGAGGAGUCGGGCGUGGAUAAUAAUCGGGUAUCAAGUUGUCUACCGAAGCAGUGGGAUCAUUAAUAUGAUCGGUAGGGGAGCAUUCCAGUCAGCGUCGAAGGCGUACCGUGAGGUAUUCUGGAGCGUCUGGAAAAGCAAAUGUAGGUAUAAGUAACGAUAAAGGGGGCGGGAAACCCCCUCGCCGAAAGACUAAGGUUUCCUGAUCAACGCUAAUCGGAUCAGGGUCAGUCGGGUCCUAAGGCUCAGCCGAACGGCGAUGCCGAUGGCAGAAACGGUUAAUAUUCCGUUACUACCUUCAGGAGUGACGUGGAGACGCAGUAGUGACAGUGCCGCCAUCUGACGGAAUAGAUGGUUGAAGGGUGUAGGAGUCGAUCAUGGCAGGCAAAUCCACCAUGAGAUCCGAACCUGACAGUAUGCCGCGUCCUUCGGGACAAGGCAAUAGUGCGCGUAAGCAUGCUGCCGAGAAAAUCCGCUAAACUUAAUCCUGCAGGUACCCGUACCGCAAACGGACACACGUAGUCGGGAUGAAUAUUCUAAGGCGCUUGAGUGAUUCACGGUUAAGGAACUAGGCAAACUGACCCUGUAACUUCGGGAUAAAGGGUCCCUACCCUUUUAUGGGAGGGCGCAGAGAAUCGGUCCAGGCAACUGUUUAACAAAAACACAGGGCUGUGCCAAAUCGAAAGAUCCAGUAUACAGCCUGACACCUGCCCGGUGCUGGAAGGUUAAGAGGAGAUGUCAUCGAUAAGAGAAGCGUUGAAUUGAAGCCCCAGUAAACGGCGGCCGUAACUAUAACGGUCCUAAGGUAGCGAAAUUCCUUGUCGGGUAAGUUC